UAUAUAAAAUUAUAUAUUUUGAACAUGUACCUUACGUGUCGUAUCCUACAUUUUUUAAAAAUUUCUGUGUUGGCUUGUCGGUAUCGUGUCCAUAUCAUGUCACAUUUCCGUGCUUCUCAGAGGCAAUAUCUUAUGUCAUCCUCUUAAUCAGAUAUGUUUUUCUGAUAAUGGAAAAAAUUAAAAAAUGAAAUUCAAGUGUUGCACAGGUGUUGCCUUUCUUUUCCCUUUUCUCUGUCAUCAUCCAAUUAUUUUUGUUCCUAUUUUAAUUUGUUAUGAUCUUCACUAUGUUUUGCUCCUGAAUUUUCUCCUUUUGUUUGAAGCUGCAUCCCACCAAAUGACCGACAUUCUAAACAAUUCAUUUAUCAAUUAUACUAUUUUAUUGGUCAAGGUGAAGGGGUGAUAUUCAUUUACAUGUGAGAAGAUUGUAUAAUUGGGUUGCAACUAUAUUGCAGGAACUGAAUAUUGGUGGAAGUAUUGUUGUGGCAGCUUUGGAAGAGGCAUGCGGGACCAACAAAUCUAAAAUAAAGGAAUUGUAUGACAACUUAGGUGAUCUUGGUGAUGUUGCUCAACUUUGCCGACAAACACAGUCACUACUUGUCCCUCCACUGCCACUCUCAAUCCAAGGUGUAUUUUCCGUGCUUCGGAAGAUAAGAUUUUUCAGUGAUACCGGUUUGUGUAGGAAAGUUUGUGUCUGUGGAAAACUAGGCUUUUGUCUAUUAAGGUGGUCGUGCUUUUGUCUGAAAGUUCUAUUUCUCUUAAAAUUGUCAGUGAACAAACAGGUGGUGGAAGUACCGUUCGAAAGAAAAGCCUUGUUGUAAAUCUCAUGCGUUCUUGUAGAGAGAAGGAGAUGAAGUUUCUUGUCAGAACUUUGGUAAGUUAUGGAUUGAAAUAAUGAUAUUUUGCACCUUAAACAAACAAUGUUGGAAAAUGAGAAGUGAUUUUAUAUUUGUGUUAGUUAUUGUGGAAUUGGUUUUCUAGAGAACUUAAAGAUGCAUUUAUGCUUAUCUUGUGUGAUUUCAAGUAUGAUUGUUGAUUGUUCAGAAUAAAUUAUGGCAUAGAACAUGGUUCCAUUAUUUCAUACCACUUUGGUACAUAUUUUCUUAAAGUAACGACUUCUUUUGAAAAAUGCAAGUAUUCUCUUUUGGAAUAGUCCCACCUUUUUUUUUUCUUUAUUUAUUUAUUUGCAUUUUGGGGAUUUGCAUUAAAUUUUGAUGUGUCUCACAACCGAAAAGAAUUCAGGGGGUGACUUCAUUUUUGGAGCUGGUAUAGGUUCAAAGGGAUGAGAGAAUUAAGGAUACCCAGUUACCCUCCAGAAACUUGUUAGAAUUUCCCAUCUUUACCUUCACCUACUCCACUACACACUCCACUUCACCUACCUCCACUUCACCACACACUCCACUUCACCUAACCCACUAUCACCUCCACUACACCUACUACCACAUUUUCUUCUAUAUAUAGAUUGUAUAGGAAUUGUAAUCAAUAAAUCUUGUAAUCUAUCAAUUAAUCAAUAAUACAUACAUAAAUUACAUAAAUUCUUACAUGGUAUCAGAGCCAGGUUGAGAAUUUAGUGAUUCCGCUACACCGGCGGACGGCAGCCUCGCCUUGGCCGUCCGCCGGACAAACCCAAAAUUUUCUAAUUCUCUUUCUCCUUCCUCAACAAACUGAUUCAUCGCCCAACCCGUAAAUCAACGGUCCAGAUUCACCCAAACCUCCUAGAACUUCUACGCCCUUUGAUGCUUUGUUCAAAAUGGGUGCUUAUACAUUGCUCUCUGAAGCCUCCCCUGUUACCCAUUUCAAGAAUUUCACUUCUAACCAAGCAAUCCUCGAAGCUCUUGGCCAUGUCGGCUGUGUUCAUAUCAUCGAUUUCGAUGCUUUUGACCCAAGCUCUUAUUCAAUCCCUCCUGUCCGAUCACCGAACGAGGCAAUUGCCGUGAGUAUUCCUAUCUGGCCGUGAGUAUUCCUUUCUGUUGCUGUUGCGCCGCUUCUGAGCUCCCAUGCAAUGAUAUCAUCAUCAACUGCCGCCGCUCGUUUUGCGGUGGUGCCGCCUCCACCGCCAGCGUUUCUGCCGUCACUGCCUUCAAACUUAGGCCCUCCGAUUUAUAUCGGACAGCCGCUGCAUGUUGGUGGCCUCAGUGGCCCUGCUGCUGCUGUAUCUUACGGUAGUCAUUUAUCUUGUAAAUCAACUUCGGGGGACUUGGAUCUCAAUCUUCAUCUAAAUCUCCCUCUAAUCUCUCUGUUCUGCGAUCACGUGCUUUGAGUAGCCAUGAGGGUGGCCUUUUGAUAAAGAUGUUGCCAUUU